rnacentral:rRNA from 1 species
UACGUAGGGUGCGAGCGUUGUCCGGGAAUUAUUGGGCGUAAAGAGCUUGUAGGCGGUUUGUCGCGUCUGCUGUGAAAAUCCGAGGCUCAACCUCGGACUUGCAGUGGGUACGGGCAGACUAGAGUGUGGUAGGGGAGACUGGAAUUCCUGGUGUAGCGGUGGAAUGCGCAGAUAUCAGGAGGAACACCGAUGGCGAAGGCAGGUCUCUGGGCCACUACUGACGCUGGAGAA